AUACGUAGGUGACAAGCGUUAUCCGGAUUUACUGGGCGUAAAGGGCGUGUAGGCGGUCUUGCAAGUCAGAAGUGAAAUUCCUGAGCUCAACUCGGGCGCUGCUUCUGAAACUGCAGGACUUGAGUGCUGGAGGGGAUAGCGGAAUUCCUAGUGGAGCGGUAAAAUGCGCAGAUAUUAGGAAGAACACCGGUGGCGAAGGCGGCUAUCUGGACAGUAUCUGACGCUGAGGAGCGAAAGCGUGGGGAGCAAACAGGAUUAGAUACCCGGGUAGUCCACGCCGUAAACGAUGAAUACUAGGUGUAGGGGGUAUCGACUCCCUCUGUGCCGCAGUUAACACAAUAAGUAUUCCGCCUGGGGAGUACGGCCGCAAGGUUGAAACUCAAAUGAAUUGACGGGG
rnacentral:rRNA from 1 species